rnacentral:rRNA from 1 species
CCUUUAGACGUUCUGGGCCGCACGCGCGCUACACUGACACAGGCAACGAGCUUUCCUUUACCGAAAGGUAUGGGUAAUCUUUUGAAACUGUGUCGUGCUGGGGAUAGAUCCUUGCAAUUUUUGAUCUUAAACGAGGAAUUCCUAGUAAGCGCGAGUCAUCAACUCGCGUUGAUUACGUCCCUGCCCUUUGUACACACCGCCCGUCGCUACUACCGAUUGAAUGGCUUAGUGAGGCCUCAGGAUCCGCGCUUAAUGUGUGGAGAAUUUGGACAAACUACGUCAUUUAGAGGAAGUAAAAGUCGUAACA